GCCGGGGUGGCGGAAUUGGCAGACGCAAGGGACUUAAAAUCCCUCGUGGCGCGAGUCACAUGCCGGUUCGAGCCCGGCCCCCGGCA
rnacentral:tRNA from 1 species